UACGUAGGUGGCAAGCGUUGUCCGGAUUUACUGGGCGUAAAGAGCGCGCAGGCGGUCGUUCAAGUCGCGUGUGAAAGCCCCCGGCUCAACUGGGGAGGGUCACGCGAUACUGAUCGACUCGAAGGCAGGAGAGGGAAGUGGAAUUCCCGGUGUAGUGGUGAAAUGCGUAGAUAUCGGGAGGAACACCGGUGGCGAAGGCGGCUAUCUGGACAGAGUCUGACGCUGAGGCGCGAAAGCUAGGGGAGCAAACAGG
rnacentral:rRNA from 1 species